GACGAACGCUGGCGGCGCGCCUAACACAUGCAAGUCGAACGAAGAAAGCGAUAGUUUACUAGAGCUUUCUUAGUGGCGGACGGGUGAGUAACACGUGAAGAACCUGCCUUACAGAGGGGGAUAACAGUUAGAAAUGACUGCUAAUACCGCAUAAGCGCACAGGACCGCAUGGUCUGGUGUGAAAAACUCCGGUGGUAUGAGAUGGACCCGCGUCUGAUUAGCUAGUUGGUGAGGUAACGGCCCACCAAGGCGACGAUCAGUAGCCGACCUGAGAGGGUGAUCGGCCACAUUGGGACUGAGACACGGCCCAA
rnacentral:rRNA from 1 species